rnacentral:lncRNA from 1 species
UGUACACGCAAUUUAUUUACUCAGACAUGAGGCAGAAAGGUCAAUGGACUGUUGUCAUGAAACAAAAUUACAAACAGGAGGCAUGAGAGGGAAGAGAGGAGAACCCAGCUGGCAGCCUGGGACUAGUGAAUCCUGCAGGCACAUUCUUGGGGUAAACAAAUCAGUUGGCAGCUGACAAAGAGAUCAGUCUGGGCAUCCUGAGAAGGCCAACUCGUGGUAUCAGGGAAAACAAUGAAGAUGUGGAUGGAUUCUUCCCGGGCCCCGAAAGCGUGGCCGAGGAGCACAGGCUUGCCGUCUCGCCCCGUGCCUGCUCUCUCCCUUGCGUUAGCUCGCCUGCCUUAGAUGAGCCAGGUCUGCACCACCGUCCUCCCUAGAAUUCCUCAAUACAUUGCAAACGCAAACUCUCCAUUUGGAAGAUUUCUGAAGGGAGUUGGAAAUUUCAGUUUCAAAGUUAAGUGUGCAGAUAUGAGGUUUUUAUAACUGAUACACGUCAUUUUUAGCAACAAAAUCACAUAACGUUGGACAGAUUUCUGACCAUCUAUUUUCAAAAAUGCUCUCGCCAUCAGACAAGACUCUUUUGAAAACCAAUGACUUUCUCAUGCAUUGUUAAAACAUCACCUUUAUCUUGAAGGAACAGAUUGUCUGUUUAUUUUUGUGAAAUUCUCUCCUAAACCAUCCUGAAGACAGCUUCUAGUCAUCAAAGAAGAGAUGAGGAAAUGUGGAGCACUUUCUGUAAAAGAAAAUACAGUAACUCAUUUUUUAAGCUUGACAAUUCUUUUAAGUGCUUUGUCACAAGAUGAUCUGUGAUCUCUGAGAUUUUCAAAGUCACCCCUCUUAUAAAACUCUGAAAAGAUUCUCCUAAAGGCCUUGUUUUGUCACCAAAUGUGGAUGCUAUCCGAUAGCCCAACCAAACCAUCAUAUGCUGUGGUCACCGCAUAACGGUCCACAGAUCUGCAAAGCCCCUCUGAUGGGAGGAGCAUUAGUCUUCCCUGUCACACUGAGGAUAAGCUUGGCCUUGUGUCUCAUUUGGGCCAAAAAAAAGUGAGCAGCAGUUAUGUUUGUCACUUCUGACCAGAAGUUUCAGGAGCUAGUUUAUGGUUCACCAAUCUUUUGUUGCUCUACUCCCACUGGCAAUUCUCCAGAUCAAGGUUGCUCCAUCAGCCUGGGCCCUGGAGUAAAGAUUACAGGGACUAGUGAAAGUAUGUCCCAAAUGCUGCACGAAACACAUUUCUGCUAAAUAUUUGGAACAUGCUUACCCUAAAAAUUUUUUCACUGUUUAUCUGAAAUUCAAAUUUACCCGAGCAUCCUGUCUUUUACCUAGCAACCCUGGCUGGAAGUCAUGGACAUUUGGGGAUCAUUUGUUUUGACUUCAUAACCCAAUCUUACUCAACUGAUACACCAGCUGACCAUGGCCCAAGGAAGGGCACUUGUGUCAAUCUGUACAUUAAGUAUUAGUAAGGCUUAAUUUGCCCUUACUUUUCACAUUAAAAAAAAAAAGGGUUGGGGGGAGCCUGUCCCAUGGCCGAGUGGUUAAGUUCAUGUGCUCCGAUUCAACAGCCUGGGGUUCACCAGUUGGGAUCCUGGGCACAGAACUAUGCAUAUGGCUCAUCAAGCCAUGCUGUGGCAGCAUCCCACAUAGAAAACUAGAAUGACCUACAACCAGGAUACAACUAUGUAAUGGGUGGGACUUUGGGGGGAGUGGGGAAGAGGAAGAUUGGCAACAGAUGUUAGCUCAGGGCCAAUCUUCCUCACAAAAAAAAAAAAGGAAGUUACAGUUCUUCCUGAACCACAGGGGAUUGUCCUUAGAGAUCAUCGUUCUAAGACAUGGUCUACAUGCCAGUGUGGUCAGAUAUUAAUAAUCUCACUAAAAAUGAGAUUCCUUGGCACUACCUAGAAAUACUGAUUUAGAACCUGGAGGUGGCUGCAGGAUCUGCUGGCUUAAUAAAGUUCCUCAGGUGACUCUGAAGCAAAUUAAAGUUCCACUGGCCUGUGUCCGCAACCCAACUUUUUAGAAGGCUACCAAGGAGUCAGAGACCUGAACUAGUCCUGCCUUUGCUAUUAAACUAACCUGGUACGAUGUUCAACAAGUCAAUUCUAUUCUCCUCUUUGACUGCAUUGCUCUCACCUAAAGAGGGACAGGAUUGGCUCAGUCAUCUCAAAUCUCUCUUCCAGCUCUAAAAGUCCAGGAUCAGCAGUCAGAGACUCAGGGCUUUUCAAGGUGCAGCAGGCAAAGUCAACAAGCGAGGCUGGGUAGGUGUAAGACACCAGGUUGUGGGGUGGGACUGUGGCACACUGAAGGGCAUAAGCCACAAUCGAAGCAUUCCUGAACUUCCCUCUCUUCGCACAUGGGGCUCUUUAGGAACUCCAAAGCCCCUAGGCACAUCUGCCUUACAUAUAACUGUAAACAUUUCUGAAAAGACUUCUAAUUUUGCUUUGGAAAAUACUGUGUGCUGCGCGUAGCUAAAUGAAUUGACAACUGACUGGCAUUUCUCUGAAAUCAUCACACACGCUGGGAGGAUUUUUGUAAGCAGAGAAAGUCUAACCUACAAAUUGUUUUAGAGUGGAACAAACUGCAUGUGAAGACUAACUUUAAUAAUUAAUGAUAUUGACACUAUAAUAUUUUGGAGAUACUUCAUUAAACAUUUUUAGCUUUGAUUUUGCACAUUAAAAAAAUACUUUGGAGCCAACAACAUUGCUUUUGUGUCUCAAACAUUCUGAUAAGCAUUUUAAAAGCCUGUUGGCACUAGUCAUUUUACCCACAUCGCCUAAGGGCUAAAACAGUUCUGCUGGCUGGUGCCGGUGAAAGAGAGAUGACCAGACAGGGCACUAGCCCUGGGGGGGGCUCACAGUCGGCAAGGCAGGCAGAUCCAGACAGGCAAUUUUUCUACAAGGCGACAAGCGCAGGAUAAAGCUACAAUGUACAAGCUCUGGGAACAAAGAAAGGGACCCUAAGGGAUAACGAGGGGAGGCAUCAGGAGAGACUUAUUAGGAACGAUACUUGAGAUGAGUCCUGAGGAACAAGUCAGGCGAGCAAGGGAAAGGCAUGCUAGGCAGAGGAAAAGCACCCGCAAACAUAGACUUAUGCAACAGCCGGUUGAAGCAGACAACUACAAAGCAGUUCAUUCACUCAGCAAACAUUUCUGAAGUGGCGAGAGCAUCAGGCCCUGGGGAGGCAGGUAAACACGUGAGAGCGCUGAGCCAGGAUACCUGCAUCUACAGGCAGAGCAGGCCGUGGAGGAUGGAGUACAUGCUGAGCAGGCUGGGAAGAGGAAGGCAGACACUGGUGCAAUAUGAAAAUGAGCAGAAAUAAGCGUCUUAAAAUGUGAACUACAGCAAGUUAUGAUCGAUGCUUUCCCACAUUAUAUUUCAAUCACUUACAUUAGAAACAAUGAUAAUCACUUUAAAAAAAAAACAGCACGUAGAAGUUUUUGAAUAGGGAAAAAAUUAAUAAGCACUUAGCUCUAGAAGAAUGUAUAACAUUUACGUAACUCAGAUGCGCCCAGUUUCUUCUGCCCCAAGGGAUCGCCCUCCUUUACUGCCUAAAUCUCUCUCGUCCUCGCCCUGUUAGUGGCCCAGGAAACUCAGUCCCUCCUCAGGCUUCCCUCCACGAGUAGUGCCCGUCCCCGAGACCGAGGACCCUCCACUCCCAUGAUUCUCUCUGCUGCUGACUUCUUCCUGUGCUGAGUUCCUGGCUCUCUCUGUUUCAUUCUUUGCCUUUUCACAGGUUGUUUCCAGCACAUUUUCCCACUAAGCAUUAUCAUUAUGGUUCAGGCACUUCUCGAGGGGCCGGCCAUAUAUUUGAGUCUGGAACAAAGAAUUACUGCUACCUCAGGAAACCUCUUUUUACAAAGAUAGAAUUAUACAAUAAAACAACAGACUUUAAAGAUUAUUAGAAGCGAAAUUAUAUAUAUGUUCAAAAACAGUAAAAAUUACACUUUACUAUAAAACAAUGCAUAAUCAGAAAGAAAAAAUAGCAAAAUAAAGAAAACUGUAAAGAAUAAAUGUUGAAACACUUCAUCUUACCACUCAGAGACAUGUUUUCGUGGACAUAGACACAGAAAUAGACAUGUUUUCAAAAAUACGAUGAUAUUGCAUAUUUUCUUUUUAAAAUUUU